UACGAAGGGGGCUAGCGUUGCUCGGAAUUACUGGGCGUAAAGCGCACGUAGGCGGCUUUCUAAGUCGGGGGUGAAAUCCUGGAGCUCAACUCCAGAACUGCCUUCGAUACUGGAGAGCUUGAGUCCGGGAGAGGUGAGUGGAACUGCGAGUGUAGAGGUGAAAUUCGUAGAUAUUCGCAAGAACACCAGUGGCGUAGGCGGCUCACUGGCCCGGUACUGACGCUGAGGUGCGAAAGCGUGGGUAGCAAACAGG
rnacentral:rRNA from 1 species